rnacentral:tRNA from 1 species
GCCACUGUUGCUCAAUGGUUAGAGCGUUGUCCUACCCACUGAAGGGUUGUGGGUUCGAUUCCCAGUCAAGGGCA